rnacentral:rRNA from 1 species
GAUGAACGCUGGCGGCGUGCUUAACACAUGCAAGUCGAACGGAAAGGCCCAAGCUUGCUUGGGUACUCGAGUGGCGAACGGGUGAGUAACACGUGGGUGAUCUGCCCUGCACUUCGGGAUAAGCCUGGGAAACUGGGUCUAAUACCGGAUAGGACCACUUCGUAGUUGUUGUGGUGGAAAGUUUUUUCGGUGUGGGAUGAGCUCGCGGCCUAUCAGCUUGUUGGUGGGGUAAUGGCCUACCAAGGCGUCGACGGGUAGCCGGCCUGAGAGGGUGUACGGCCAAAUUGGGACUGAGAUACGGCCCGGACUCCUACGGGAGGCAGCAGUGGGGAAUAUUGCAAAAGGGGGGGAAGCCUGAUGCAGCGACGCCGCGUGGGGGAUGACGGCCUUCGGGUUGUAAACCCCUUUCGCCAAAGACGAAUUUAGGACGGUAUUUGGAAAAGAAGCACCGGCUAACUACGG